rnacentral:rRNA from 1 species
CCUGCCCUAUACAGGGGGAUAACAGCUGGAAACAGCUGCUAAUACCGCAUAAGCGCACAGAAUCGCAUGAUUCAGUGUGAAAAGCCCUGGCAGUAUAGGAUGGUCCCGCGUCUGAUUAGCUGGUUGGUGAGGUAACGGCUCACCAAGGCGACGAUCAGUAGCCGGCUUGAGAGAGUGAACGGCCACAUUGGGACUGAGACACGGCCCAAACUCCUACGGGAGGCAGCAGUGGGGAAUAUUGCACAAUGGGGGAAACCCUGAUGCAGCGACGCCGCGUGAGUGAAGAAGUAUUUCGGUAUGUAAAGCUCUAUCAGCAGGGAAGAAAACAGACGGUACCUGACUAAGAAGCCCCGGCUAACUACGUGCCAGCAGCCGCGGUAAUACGUAGGGGGCAAGCGUUAUCCGGAAUUACUGGGUGUAAAGGGUGCGUAGGUGGCAUGGUAAGUCAGAAGUGAAAGCCCGGGGCUUAACCCCGGGACUGCUUUUGAAACUGUCAUGCUGGAGUGCAGGAGAGGUAAGCGGAAUUCCUAGUGUAGCGGUGAAAUGCGUAGAUAUUAGGAGGAACACCAGUGGCGAAGGCGGCUU